rnacentral:lncRNA from 1 species
CAGAUUUUAGCUUCGGAUAUGGCUACCAUUGGGUAUAUUACUUGAAUAGGUUUGACAAAGAGGAAAGCUUGCUAAGUGAACUAUUUUAGAGGCAUAUUUUUAAUAACACCCUUAUAGAUCUUAUCCGUGUUGGCUAAAUUCACCAGUGCUUGAAACCAACCAUUUUUUAUUCUUUCUUAUGGCAUUCUUCCGUGGGCCAACAUCUGUUGAUUCUCAUAAUUGAUAAGCUGUUCUUGCCAUUAUCAUGUGAGAUUUAGACCAUUGACAAAUCCUUUCAUACCUUGAAAUGGUAAGACAUAUAGUUGGAUCUUGCUAAUCAUUUAGAUGGAAAUCAAUCCCUGACUAAUUCAAAUGAACAAAAUAUAGUAUAAUACCUUGUUAGUGUAGCUGGUUGCAAUUUGUUCUCGGAACAUCUUUGGAUUGAUCUUUCUAGAUGCAUUUGGGAAUCAGGACUUCUUUUUGGUACUUUUCUUGGACACUAUACAUGAAAGGAAGUCAUUUUCAUUGGUGGAAUGAUAUUUAUGGAACCAUCACAUGAUCCUUCUCCAACUGUACUUUACCCUCUGAUAAGUAAUAAAGACACCACAAACCUACUGUAUGGUUGGCAUGUAUCCUUAAAGGAACUCCUAUGUGCGAACUUAAAGUACUCACAUAUGUUCCAUAAAUAAUAAAAAAGUAAAAUUAAUUUUGACCAUACAUUUAAUUGCAUAAAAUAAUUAUUACUAUAGUAUAGUAAAAAUAAUUAAAAAAAAUACUCAUAAUUAAUGAAUAGACGUGUAUCUAUUAUAUUAUACAUAAUAAGCG